rnacentral:rRNA from 1 species
CCCUUAGAUGUUCUGGGCCGCACGCGCGCUACACUGAUGCAUUCAACGAGUCUAAAACCUGGUCUGAUAGGGCUGGGUAAUCUUUUGAAUGUGCAUCGUGAUUGGGAUAGAUGACUGCAAUUCUUCAUCUUCAACGAGGAAUGCCUAGUAAACGCAAGUCAUCAGCUUGCAUUGAUUACGUCCCUGCCCUUUGUACACACCGCCCGUCGCUCCUACCGAUUGAAUGUUCCGAUGAAUACCAUGGACUGAGAGUAUGAAUGGGUUCGCCUAUUUCUGCUUCUCGGGAAGUGGAGUAAAUCUUAACAUUUAGAGGAAGGAGAAGUCGUAACA